rnacentral:rRNA from 1 species
UGGGGAAUAUUGGACAAUGGGCGAAAGCCUGAUCCAGCCAUGCCGCGUGUGUGAAGAAGGUCUUCGGAUUGUAAAGCACUUUAAGUUGGGAGGAAGGGCAUUAACCUAAUACGUUAGUGUUUUGACGUUACCGACAGAAUAAGCACCGGCUAACUCUGCGCCAGCAGCCGCGGUAAUACAGAGGGUGCAAGCGUUAAUCGGAAUUACUGGGCGUAAAGCGCGCGUAGGUGGUUUGUUAAGUUGGAUGUGAAAUCCCCGGGAUCAACCUGGGAACUGCAUUCAAAACUGACUGACUAGAGUAUGGUAGAGGGUGGUGGAAUUUCCUGUGUAGCGGUGAAAUGCGUAGAUAUAGGAAGGAACACCAGUGGCGAAGGCGACCACCUGGACUAAUACUGACACUGAGGUGCGAAAGCGUGGGGAGCAAACA